rnacentral:rRNA from 1 species
CCGAACAAAGAGAGGCGAGACCGCGAGGUGGAGCAAAUCUCAAAAAGCCGUCCCAGUUCGGAUUGCAGGCUGCAACCCGCCUGCAUGAAGUUGGAAUCGCUAGUAAUCGCGGAUCAGAAUACCGCGGUGAAUACGUUCCCGGGCCUUGUACACACCGCCCGUCACACCAUGAGAGUCGGGAACACCCGAAGUCCGUAGCCUAACAGCAAUGAGGGCGCGGCCGAAGGUGGGUUCGAUAAUUGGGGUGAAGUCGUAACAAGGUACC